GUUUGGUCCUAGCCUUAUCUUCAGCUAUUACUUAACUUACACAUGCAAGUAUCCGCACACCCGUGAGAACGCCCUCACCCUCCACCAGUACGAGGAGCUGGUAUCAGGUACACAUUCUUGCCCACAACACCUAGCCACGCCACACCCCUAAGGGUAUUCAGCAGUGAUAAACAUUGUCCAUUAGCGCCAGCUUGACCCAGUUAAAGUUAAAAGAGCCGGCUAAUUCGGUGCCAGCCGCCGCGGCUACCCCGCUUGGCUCAAGUUGACGCCGCCGGCGUUAAGCGUGAUUAAAGUGACCCUAAAACUAGAAUUAAACCCUAACCAAGUCGUGAAACACUUGUUACGAAGGGAAACCCUAUAAACGAAAGUUAUUCUAACCUACUUGAAGCCACGACAGUUGAGACACAAACUGGGAUCAGGUACCCCACUAUGCCCAACCGUAAAAUAUUUACUCACACCCACCACCGCCAGGGAAUUACGAGUCCAAUCUUAAAACCCAAAGGACUUGACGGUGCCCCACCCACCUAGAGGAGCCUGUUCUAUAAUCGACACCCCCCGAUACACCUCACCACUUCUAGCACUCAGUCUGUAUACCUCCGUCGUAAGCUUACCAUGUGAACGCAAGUAAGCCCAAAGACUCUAUGUCAAUACGUCAGGUCAAGGUGCAACUAACGAAGCGGAAAGCAAUGGGCUACAAUUUCUAUCAUAGAACAUACGAAAAACUGCAUGAAAUACGGUCAUGAAGGCGGAUUUAGUAGUAAAAAGAAAAUAGAGUGUUCUUUUUAAUCCGGCGCUGGGGCGCGUACACACCGCCCGUCACCCUCUUCAAGUACUUUUACCAGAAGAGGCAAGUCGUAACAUGGUAGGUGUACUGGAAGGUGCACCUGGACUAACAAGAUGUAGCUUAUCCAAAGCAUCUCGCUUACACCGAGAUAGAUGUCAAUGAACAGACCACCUUGAGCCUAAAUUCUAGCCCACUAUCACACUAACCUUACUACACAAAACAAAACAUUUUCACCAUUAAGUAACGGCGAUUAAAAAAUAACUAAGAGCUAUAAAAAUAGUACCGCAAGGGAAACAUGAAAUACACAAUGAAACAAUCUAAAGCACAACACAGCAAAGCCCCAACCUUGUACCUUUUGCAUCAUGGUCUAGCUAGUUUAACCAAGCAAAACGCACUUAAAGUUUGGCCCCCCGAAACUAAGCGAGCUACCUUAGAGCAGUCUCUCAGGACCAACCCGUCUCUGUAGCAAAAGAGUGGGAAGACUCUAAAGUAGAAGUGACACACCUAUCGAGCUUAGAGAUAGCUGGUUGUUCAAGAAAAGGAUUUUAGUCCACCUUUAAGUUUUUACACUCUCAUCAAAUACAAAAUAAACUUAAAAGCCACUCAAAUAAGGUACAGCCUAUUUGAACUAGGAAACAGCCUGAAACACUGGGUAAUAAUUUUCUACGUGACCAAGUCGGCCUAAAAGCAGCCAACUUCCAAAUAGCGUCUAAGCUUCACCACUAACUAUCAUUAAUUCUAUUAUUCACUCACAACCCUCAACCCCUACUGAACGACUCCAUACCGAUAUGGAAGACAUCAUGCUAGAACUAGUAACAAGAAGACGCACUUCUCCAAAAUGCAAGUAUAAGCCAAAAUGAACCCUCACCGGCAUCCACCGUCAUAAGCUAACAGUACUAACCCACAAGAAAACCCUACCCCUCCUGGCGUUAACCUUACACUAGAGCAUUACCGGAAAGAUUAAAAAAGAGGGAAGGAACUCGGCAAAUAUAGCUCCGCCUGUUUACCAAAAACAUCGCCUCUUGUUAACCAUAAGAGGUCCAGCCUGCCCAGUGACCAAAAGUUAAACGGCCGCGGUAUCCUAACCGUGCAAAGGUAGCACAAUCACUUGUUCUUUAAAUCAGGACCAGUAUGAACGGCCUCACGAGAGCUACACUGUCUCCCCCCUUUAAUCAGUGAAACUGAUCUCCUCGUGAAGAAGCGAGGAUAUUACUAUUAGACGAGAAGACCCCAUGGAGCUUAAAACUUGUGCCACUGCCCCUUAACCAUACCACAUCCGGGCAAGUAUGACCACUAGUCUUUCAGCUGGGGCGGCUACGGAGAAAAACUAAACCUCCACGAUGAACGGAACUCCUCCCUAAUUAAAGAGCUACAGCUCUAAAAAUCAAUAAAUUGACAUAAAUUGACCCAAUACCUUGAUCAACGAACCAAGUUACCCUGGGGAUAACAGCGCAAUCCAUUUCAAGAGACCCCAUCGACAAAUGGG
rnacentral:ncRNA from 1 species